AUUAAAUCAAUACCUACAUGUACCUACCAUUACUAUUUUUUUUUUAAAUUGAACAGUUAAAUGUGCAUGUGUUUAAAAUAAUAUUUAGUAUGGUUUUAAUUGACUUAUAACAAAAUCAAUUUUUAUACAAUGUACCAAUAAAAAACAAUAUUCUCUUCUUUUUUAAGAACUGGGCCAUUUGAAGUUUGAUGAAAGAUGAUCUGCAUCAUUGUGUUUAUGAUAAUGUGGAAAAGUACCAAUUGUUUUGAGGUAAGAAUGUCAGAGAUGAGACACAGGAACCUUUCAAUUUAUAAGAAUAUACAAAUAUUUACUUUUUUGCUUUACAUCCAGUGGCAAAUACAAUGUACUUCACUUAGAUAUUCUUACCUUCGGUUUAUUAAUAUAUUACCGUUGUUGCACAUGUUACUUGUGCAUUAAUCUAUUUAAAAUCACAGUAAGGGCUGUUCUGUUCUAAGUGAAAGGGUCGAAAGACACUUUUUGUUUUAAAUCAACACUGAUAAAACUUUUAGUUGAUUAUAUUUCCAAUAUCUUUCUUAAAAAAAACACAACCCAUCAAAUUUUGAUAAGUGUUUUCUGAUGGCUCUUUUUGAAUUUCACUUUAAGACAACUGUUGAAUAUUUUAUACGAGUUCAUAAAUUUAGGUGUCAGUAUUGAUACUAAUAUUUUAAUUUAAUUUUUUAGAAUUGGUUCCACAGAUGUCAGUGAAAGAGACAUCCGACUAAAUGUUCAUGUUUUUGAACAGAACUAUUAAAAAGAAAAAUGGUGCAAAAUCAAUUGAAUCUGGUAUGUACAUGCUUUAUAGUUUUAAUAGUAUAAAAAUAAGCUGUAAGUGUGGAAUGUUUUCCAAUGAGACAACUAUCUACUAUAUGAAUGCAGUACAAAUGUAGAUGAGAACAAUGAUAGCUAAUGGUCACCAUACAGCCUUUAAAUUUAACAACAAGCAAAGCCUUAAAUUUAUUUAUGACACUGACACAUAUAUUUGAAAUAAUUAAUUCCUACAUUAAUUAUACCGCACGCAACUAACGAAGUUGCAGAGGGUAUAAUGUUUUUGACCUGUCUCAGUCUAUCUGUCUGUCAGGUCUGUCCAUCUGUCAGUUCAUCAGUCCCGUUUCUUGUCAUCGCAACUUCUCUCAAACCACACAACAGAAUUUCAUAAAACCUUUUUAGAUAAUAAGGACAUAUAAUGCAGUUGUGCAUAUCAACAGGAAAUUAUUAAUUUUUUUCUAGGAGUUAUGCCCCUUUGAACUAAUUUUCUUUAAUGUACUAGUACUACUGCAACAGUUUGUCAUCGUAACUCCUCUGAAACCACACAAACAGAAUUUCAUGAAACUUUGUAGAUAAUAAGGACAUACAUCAUGAAAUUAUGAUUCAAAUUUUUUUCUAGGAGUUACGCCCCUUUGAACUUAUUUGCUUUAAUGUACUUCUGCAACUCCUCUGAAACCACAUUUAGAAUUUCAUGAAACUUUGUGGAUAAUAAUAAGGAAAUACUAUGUAGUUGUGCAUAUUGACCGGAAAUUGUGAUUCAAUUUUUUCUAUAGGAGUUACGCCCCUUUGAACUUAUUUGCUUCAAUGUACUACUGCAACAGUUUGUCAUUGCAACUCCUCUGAAACCACACGACAGAAUUUCAUGAAACUUUGUAGAUAAUAAGGACAUAUAAGGAAAUUAUAAUUCAAUUUUUUUUUUAUGAUAUACCGGUAAUUUUUUAUUCUUGCACUUAUUUUAUUUCUCAAAUGAAAAUGUGGGGAUGUGGGGUAUGUGAGCGAAAUCACUAAGGUUCUUUAAUUGCAUAUUCAUUAAAACUAAUACAUUAAACUAUAAAUAAAAAAAAAAUCAGCAACUAAUUAUGAGGUCAAGGUCAAAGAUUUUAAAAGUCAACUGAAUUUGUCCCAAAAAUUGGUUCCCCCAAAAAAAAUACAUGUAUUGCAUAUGGGAUUGAAGAAUUGCAUAGAUAUAUGACCAUUUAUAAUUAAAAUUAAUUAAAAUUUUCUUGAUACUAGGAAGUUGUGUAUUUGUUAAUGGCAAAGUUCCAUUCAAAGAAUGUUUUGUUUUUCUAAUGUUAAUUAAAUACAGAAAAAUAGCACUCAUACCGGUACAUGUCAUGUGGCAAUUCAUGCCAGAUUUUUAUAAAAUGUAUAUCAAUGGCUUACAUCAUCAAUGUCAAGGGUUGGAUUUAGGGAAACGGGAAGAAAUAUCAUAGUGAUUUAAUAACAGUUCAAACAAGAAUUUGUGGAAUUUUAGUUAUUGUCCCUGGGCAGACAAGAAAAAUGCAACACAAGAGACAUUGAAGUUCUGUUCUUUUAUUAGCUUGUUUUUUUAUUUAUUCAGGUCACAAGAGAGAUGGAGACCUCGAGAGACAGGAAAAGAACAGACCAGGGAAUCACAGAUCCAUAUCAGAUAAUAAAAUUAAAU
rnacentral:lncRNA from 1 species